AAUUAAAAUUUUAAAGGGACUUAGUGAUAAAUUUAUUGUGUAUUAUUGUGAGAAGGGGAACUCAUAUUAAUAUUAUAAUAAUAAAUUCACUUGUUGUACCUUUUGUAUCAGGGUUAAUUUAAUAAAUUAUUUUAAAAUAUUUUCUCGAAAGAAAAAGAUUUAAUUUAAUAAAAUUAUAUUUAUGUAGUAAAAUAAAUAUUAAUAUAGAUUUAGGUUUGAAAAAAAUUUAGAUUUUUCAUAUCUAGUUACUUUAUUUUUAAUAAAAUUAAGUUAAUUUAAGUAAGAGGGGUAUUUAAAUUAAUAAAAUUUAUAGGGAUAAGCUUAUAAAAUACAUUAUAGUAUAUUGUAAUUAUUAAUUUGUAUGUUUAGAAAUAGCAUUCAUUUAAUUUGUAAAAAUUAUUUUAAUUAUUUUAGUUAUUUAAAAAAAAUUAAACUUUAAAAGAGGGGUUAAAGUUUGUUUAAUUGAAUAAAUUAUUUUAAUUAAAAAUGAUUAAAUUAGUAGAAUUAGAAAUAUCUGUUAAGAAUUCGGCAAAUAGAAUUUUCAACUGUUUAUCAAAAACAUUUCUGAGAGAGAAAUAUUUUUGGUAUAACCUGCUCAAUGCUUAGGUAAAUAGCUGCAGUAUUAUGACUGUACAAAGGUAGCAUAAUAAUUAGUCUUUUAAUUAAAGGCUUGUAUGAAUGGUUGAAUGUAAAAUUAGCUUUUUUGUAGAUAUAAAAAUUUAAUUUAAUUUUUGAGUUAAAAAGCUUAAAUAUUUAAAAGGGACGAGAAGACCCUAUAGAAUUUUAAAAUGAAAAUGAAAUUGUAUUUUUUAAUUGGGGUGAUUAGAAAAAAACAUUUCUUUUUUUAAUUCAUUGAUAAAUGAAUGGAAGAUCCUAUUUUAGAAAAAAAGAUUAAAUUACCUUAGGGAUAACAGCAUAAUUUUUUUUUUAAGUUCAUAUUUAUGAAAAAGUUUAUGACCUCGAUGUUGAAUUAAAAUUAUAUUUAAAUGUAGGUGUUUAUGUAUAAAGUCUGUUCGACUUAAUUAUUUUACAUGAUUUGAGUUCAGACCGGCGUGAGCCAGGUUGGUUUCUAUCUUUUUACUAAUUAUUAAUUUAGUACGAAAGGAUUAAUUAUUUUAAUUUAUAUUAUAUUUGUAAAUUUCAUUAUAU
rnacentral:rRNA from 1 species